GGAUUUAUUCAAAGCUUAUUUCAUUGGAAACUAGACUCAUAGAUCUUUCUUUUGAUAUAUGGUUUGAAAGAUUUGGAAUCCAAACACCUGCCCAGUUAUCUAUUGAAUUUGACAUUAUGAAUUCUGCCAACAGAGAUUUUGUUCUACGACCCUUGUUUACCAAAUUAUUUGUAACUCUCUCUAUUGGACAGUUCAAUUCAUAUGAAGCCUGUCUUAUCUGAAAGUAUAAUCCAAUGAUAUAUUUCUGAGUAAAUUGGAGCACGAUUGAUAGUUUGAAUCAUUUGUUCAAUGUGCCUUUUGUAUUCUGCCAGAAAUCGAGCUUUGGUCGAUUUCUAAUAUUCUGGUUUCAUUCCUUUGGAAAUUGAUAUCCUUUAGCUUUCUUAUUCAAUUGAGCUUUAUAAUACUGCUUUGAAUUCUUGUAUGCUCUUGUCCUUAAAGUUAUUUGCAUUCUUGAAAAUUAUUGUGUAACGUUUAUGCUAUAUCGUAUUGACUCAUUUAGGCACAUGUGUAUCCCAUUGUUCCGCAUUUGCUUUCGAUAUGUGCCUAUUCCAUUUCCUUUUAAAAAUCUGAAUAUCAUUGUGAAAGAUUAUUGCUUACUUCGUAUUGACUCGUAAAGGCACAUGUACGUUUUGUUGUUCCGCGUGUACUUCCGAUAUGUGCUACUUAUUGUUAAAACUGCCCUCUUGUACUCUAGUAUUGUGGGAUUGUCUGGACCUUUGCCAGAAAUGGUAAAGGGUAUGUGCUUAGAGCCUGCGAUGCUCUGCCGGCCCCCUCUGACUUCACCUAGACGUGGGUGGAUGGAGCUCCCAGACGUGGGAGACUUUUGUCAGGUGGUCAUUCAGAAAUGGAUGAAUCACAUUCUGACUGAGAUCCCACUACACCUUCUAUAUGUUUGAUAUGAUAUCCAGAGCUUUGGUUAUAUGUUUCUGUACAUGCUUUGGAUAAGAAUGAUAUGAUUGCAACGUCAAGGACGACGUUUGAGCUUCUGUACGGUAUUUGUUUUUGAUAUGCUCUGAAAUGGUUCAUUCACUAUUGAUAUGCUUCGAAAUGUUUCAUAUGCCGUUGAUAUGCUCCGGAACAUUUCAUUUGCCAUUGAUAAGCUCUGAUAUGUUUCAUUUGUUAUUGAUAUGCUUCGAAAACAUUUCAUACGCCAUUGAUAAACUCCGAAAUGUUUCAUUCGUUACUGAUAUGCUCCAAUUACUCUGUGCUUCAUUUGCUAUGAAUUGAUAUGUUCUGAAAUGUCCUAUCUGCCAUUGAUAUGCUCCAAUUACUCUGUGCUCCAUUUGCUAUGAACUGAUAUGUUCUGAAAUGUCCUAUCUGCCAUUGAUAUGCUCCAAUUACUCUGUGCUCCAUUUGUUAUGAAUCAAAUAUGUUUGAAUGACAUGAUACAUAUGAUUUUGUAUCUAAUGAGAUGGUAUCAUUGAGAAUUCUUGUAUUCUGCCUUGCAUUAAGAUACCUUACUUGUUUGAAAUCGUUCUUUUUGUUCUGAAUAUGCUUUGUCACUUGCUGAGCCGUUUUUGGCUCACUCCGAUGUUAUAUAAAUCUUUCAGGUCAGCUUGUCACUCUUCGAGAUGUUUGAUUUGGGUUGAGGCAGUGGAUAGCUAUUUAGAAUUAUGGGCAAGUCUUGUUGGUUGUUAUGCUAUUGUUGUAUAAGCAUAUUUUGUAUGUAAUGAAUUGUUCUGAUGAUCAAAAUGGAUAUACUGUGUAAAAGUGUUAGAAGAUCUCUCUUAUUUAGAAUUUCGGAAUGUUAAGUCUAAUUUAUGACGAUAUGAACUUGUGGUGAAUAGUUGGAGUUCUGAUUGUAUAAUUUAUUUAGCUUGUGGAUUUAUAAAUAUUGUUCAUGUUUGUCAAGUUGGCUUGGGUUGCCAUAAAUGUGAAUUAUCGAGUGAUGUGAUAUAUGAUUUUAAAAUGCACAGGUUUUAUGGAUGUGAAUUUGAUUGAAUGUUUUUCAGUUAGUUUGGAUCCUGGAUUGGUCUGUGAUGAAAAUUUUAAAAAUCAUGGAUAUCUUUGAGGGGCGUGACAACUGCGUAGAGGGAUCACUAUUGCUGAGGGCUUAGAGGUAGCGAUGGUGGUGCGGCUAGGGCAGCAUCGCCAAGGGCUCACCGCUGCGAUGGCUGCGACAGUGUGGAUGGAAGGCAGUGUUGCUCUGUUUCUGUCACACUACGGAAGGAGGCGCUAGUGAGAGGCAACAAUUCUUGUUGCAGUCGUUGCGUGGAGGGUUCGCUGUUGCUGAGGGUUGGGAGGCAGCGAUGGUGAUGUGGUUGGGGGCAG
rnacentral:lncRNA from 1 species